GCUUGUCUCAAAGAUUAAGCCAUGCAUGUCUAAGUAUAACUCUUUUACUUUGAAAACUGCGAACGGCUCAUUAUAUCAGUUAUAGUUUCUUUGAUAGUCCCUUACUACUUGGAUACCCGUAGUAAUUCUAGAGCUAAUACAUGCAUCAAUACCCAACUGUUCGCGGAAGGGUAGUAUUUAUUAGGUAUAGACCAACCCUCCUCGGAGGUGCUUUGGUGAUUCAUAAUAACUUAGCGAACCGCAUGCUUCGGCGGCGGUGAUUCAUUCAAGUUUCUGCCCUAUCAGCUUUCGAUGGUAGGGUAUUGGCCUACCAUGGCGGUGACGGGUGACGGAGAAUUAGGGUUCGAUUCCGGAGAGGGAGCCUGAGAGAUGGCUACCACAUCCAAGGAAGGCAGCAGG
rnacentral:rRNA from 1 species